AACGGAGUUAUAGGAGAGCUUGCUCGAAUAUAACUUAGUGGCGGACGGGUGAGUAACGCGUGAGCAACCUGCCUCUGUGUGGGGGAUAACGACGGGAAACUGUCGCUAAUACCGCAUAAAGUGACCAAUUCGCAUGGAUAAGGCCACCAAAGAUUUAUUGCACAGAGAUGGGCUCGCGUCUGAUUAGGUAGUUGGUGGGGUAAUGGCCUACCAAGCCGACGAUCCAUAGCUGGUUUGAGAGGAUGAUCAGCCACACUGGGACUGAGACACGGCCCAGACUCCUACGGGAGGCAGCAGUGGGGAAUCUUAGACAAUGGGCGCAAGCCUGAUCUAGCCAUGCCGCGUGAGCGAUGAAGGCCUUAGGGUUGUAAAGCUCUUUCUGCUGGGAAGAUAAUGACUGUACCAGCAGAAGAAGCCCCGGCUAACUCCGUGCCAGCCGCCGCGGUAAAAC
rnacentral:rRNA from 1 species